ensembl:snRNA LOC120094963 U2 spliceosomal RNA
AUUGCUUCUCGGCCUUCUGGCUAAGAUCAAGUGUAAAAUUUAAUCCCAGGCCUUUCCCUACUUGGGACACGGCCUUUUUUUGUUUUUGUUUUUGGUUUGUUUUUUUUUUUAACUUUGCUUACAUGGAGACAGAACUUUAUCCCAUAUGGAUUAAAACUUAAGUAUGAGAAUAAAAACACUA